rnacentral:rRNA from 1 species
GUGGGGAAUAUUGCACAAUGGGCGCAAGCCUGAUGCAGCGACGCCGCGUGAGGGAUGACGGCCUUCGGGUUGUAAACCUCUUUCAGUUGGGACGAAGCCAGCUUGCUGGUGACGGUACCUUCAGAAGAAGCACCGGCUAACUACGUGCCAGCAGCCGCGGUAAUACGUAGGGUGCAAGCGUUGUCCGGAAUUAUUGGGCGUAAAGAGCUCGUAGGUGGUUUGUCGCGUCUGCUGUGAAAACCUCCCGCUCAACGGGGGGCCUGCAGUGGGUACGGGCAGACUAGAGUGCAGUAGAGGAGUCUGGAAUUCCUGGUGUAGCGGUGGAAUGCGCAGAUAUCAGGAGGAACACCGGUGGCGAAGGCGGGACUCUGGGCUGUUACUGACGCUGAGGAGCGAAAGCAUGGGGAGCGAACAGGAUUAGAUACCCUGGUAGUCC